GUUUAGGCCCGCUGUCCGUGCUGGAGACUGAGGUCUGCUGUCUGAGAAGCCAGAACCGGAACUGCAAGCAGGUGACACACCAACGGACUGAAGAGGAUUUGCAACAGAUCUGAUCAUCGUUCUGGAUCGUUGUUCCAUUGAAGAAAGCACUACCAGCAUAGCCAACAUGAGGAUUUGGAGCCUUGAUGUGCCAUUAAGAAAUUUAAAACUGUGAAGAAGCAUCUGGAU